rnacentral:rRNA from 1 species
CAGUAGCCGCGGUAAUACGGAGGUCCCGAGCGUUGUUCGGAUUCACUGGGCGUAAAGGGUGCGUAGGCGGAUAGAUAAGUCAGUGGUGAAAGACGGUGGCUCAACCAUCGCAGUGCCGUUGAUACUGUUUAUCUUGAAUAUGGAUGAGGUAGGCGGAAUGUGGCAAGUAGCGGUGAAAUGCAUAGAUAUGCCACAGAACACCGAUUGCGAAGGCAGCUUACCAAGGCAAAAUUGACGCUGAGGCACGAAAGCGUGGGGAUCGAACAGGAUUAGAUACCCCUGUAGUCCCUGUCUCUUAUAC